rnacentral:snRNA from 1 species
GUGCUCGCUUCGGCAGCACAUAUACUAAAAUUGGAAUGAUUCAGAGAAAAUUAGCAUGGCCCCUGCACAAGGAUGACAUGCAAAUUCGUGAAGCGUUCCAUUUUUUU